CCUACGGGUGGCAGCAGUAGGGAAUAUUGCUCAAUGGGGGAAACCCUGAAGCAGCAACGCCGCGUGGGGGAUGAAGGUUUUCGGAUUGUAAACUCCUUUUGUUAGGGAAGAUAAUGACGGUAUCUAACGAAUAAGCACCGGCUAACUACGUGCCAGCAGCCGCGGUAAUACGGAGGGGGCAAGCGUUAUCCGGAAUUACUGGGCGUAAAGAGCGCGUAGGCGGGGUAGCAAGUCAGAUGUGAAAUCCUAGGGCUUAACCAUAGAACUGCAUUUGAAACUGUUAAUCUAGAGUAUGGGAGAGGUAGGUGGAAUUCCUGGUGUAGGGGUAAAAUGCGUAGAGAUCAAGAGGAAUACUCAUUGCGAAGGCGACCUGCUAGAACAUAACUGACGCUGAUGCGCGAAAGCGUGGGGAGCAAACAGGAUUAGAUACCCCGGUAGUC
rnacentral:rRNA from 1 species